AUUGAACGCUGGCGGCAGGCCUAACACAUGCAAGUCGAACGAGUGGCGGACGGGUGAGUAAUGUCUGGGAAACUGCCCGAUGGAGGGGGAUAACUACUGGAAACGGUAGCUAAUACCGCAUACCAUCGGAUGUGCCCAGAUGGGAUUAGCUAGUAGGUGGGGUAACGGCUCACCUAGGCGACGAUCCCUAGCUGGUCUGAGAGGAUGACCAGCCACACUGGGACUGAGACACGGUCCAGACUCCUACGGGAGGCAGCAGUGGGGAAUAUUGGACAAUGGGCGCAAGCCUGAUUCAGCCAUGCCGCGUGUAUGAUGAAGGCCUUCGGGUUGUAAAGUACUUUCAGCGAGGAGGCGUUACUCGCAGAAGAAGCACCGGCUAACUACGUGCCAGCAGCCGCGGUAAUUC
rnacentral:rRNA from 1 species